CCUACGGGUGGCAGCAGUGGGGAAUAUUGCACAAUGGGGGAAACCCUGAUGCAGCGACGCCGCGUGAGUGAAGAAGUAUUUCGGUAUGUAAAGCUCUAUCAGCAGGGAAGAAGAAAGACGGUACCUGACUAAGAAGCCCCGGCUAACUACGUGCCAGCAGCCGCGGUAAUACGUAGGGGGCAAGCGUUAUCCGGAUUUACUGGGUGUAAAGGGAGCGUAGACGGCUGUGCAAGUCUGAAGUGAAAGCCCAGGGCUCAACCCUGGGACUGCUUUGGAAACUGUGGAGCUAGAGUGCUGGAGAGGUAAGUGGAAUUCCUAGUGUAGCGGUGAAAUGCGUAGAUAUAUGUAAGAACACCAGUGGCGAAGGCGGCUUGCUGGGUCGAUACUGACAUUGAGGCACUAAAGCGUGGGGAGCAAACAGGAUUAGAUACCCUAGUAGUC
rnacentral:rRNA from 1 species